rfam:Yarrowia lipolytica CLIB122 chromosome E complete sequence
GCUCCAGUGGCGCAGCUGGUUAGCGCUUCGUGCUUAUAGAUUUUAGACUUGAUCAUUCUCUAUGUCAAAGUCACGGUCGUGUGAGGAACGCGACGGUCGUGGGUUCAAUCCCCUCCUGGAGCA